rfam:Xenopus tropicalis strain Nigerian Chr03_contig_3086, whole genome shotgun sequence.
GUUUCUGUAGUGUAGUGGUUAUCACGUUUGCCUAACAUGUGAAAGGUCCCUGGUUUUAAACCGGGCAGAAACA